GGGGAGGCAGCUGGACUCGUUCUCUGAGGGACUUUGCUGAGAUAACCCCACCUUUUGGUACCUUUUAGCAUCUUCACCGCCACCUGAAUUGAGACUCCCGUUUUACUAAUGCCAUAGGCCGUGGCGUUCAUCACCCUCCCGAAAGCGCCAGACCCCAGGACCUUCCCUGUAAAGAUGGAAUCAACACAAUGAGAACAACAAUGAAGGGGAGACAGAGCCCAAUGGUCGCAUAGAAGGAGAUGUUGUCUUGGAUGAAAGGGAAGGGGCCUGCAAGAGAAGCAAUCACUAGGCGGGGGCGAGAUAAAACAGGCAGGCCUGUUUAAGUCUCUUGUUAGAGUCUCUCACAUCCUGUUCAAGUAACCACCAUCUUCAGGCCUUAUGAGCAAUCUGUGUGUUCUGUCUGGGUGCCCCACAGAAAGUUGGUUUGUUUCUGUAAACAAUGAGUCCCCAGAAAAAUCAGAAACGAUUCUGAACCCAUCUUAAAAACUGGACCAUGAUGUCACG
rnacentral:lncRNA from 1 species